rnacentral:rRNA from 1 species
CAACAGACGGAGUAAGCAGGGCCACCAAGCAACGUGUUUGACGCGUCCCACCCGACCACGCACACGAGCACCCGGGGACCGACUGGCUACGUAUCACGCGUGCAGCACGCACGGAGUAGAGACGGAGUGCUCGCACGAAAUCAAAUUAAAAGAGAGACGGGUUAGAGGUAGCAGGACGAUGAUGGCGGCGGCAGCCACGACGGAGGCGGAGGCGGAGCAGGAGAACCAAAGACUACGACGGCGAGGCUCCUUCCAACGGCGCGGCGACCACGAAUCUAAGUACCUCCCCUUGUCGUCGGUGUGGUACACCGUACGGAGCGGCACGGCGUACCACCGGCUCUACGCCGGCGGGGUACACGGACGCGGCAGAGUAACAGAAGUAGCUAUCCUCCGUAGAGACGGCCGGAGUGGGGUAGUGGUAGCGGAGGGAAGGGAUGCUCUCGCUGCCUAGGUUAUCGAAAUCGAGUCUAGCGAAGGUCCACGAACACCGGUGGCGGGUUGUACGCGAGUGAACGACUGGAACUUAAGAUCGGCGUUGCCUAGCAGGUACUCACGUCGAAGAUGAGGACCGCAGGUCCUCACACCAAUGCAAACGAAGAAGAUUUGUGUGACGGUCAGAGAGUGUUACCUUCUCUAGGACAAUACAUCAGAAUGUAUUACCUUUUCUCUUCUACUAAAAUACAGUUAACCUGAGAUGUCCCUACCUUUACUUUUGUGGUCUCACUUGAGAAAAAGGAGCGAAUUCUGUAAUUAAGUAUGCUGUAGAGUAGUACAAUAAUACUAAAAUAUGGGAAUACGAGAACUGUUAUCAAAGAAUCGAAAGGUUUUAAGCCUUCAUUAAAUGGAAGGGGAGUGUAAAAUUAACUAAAACACGUCUGAUUAAAUGGAAGGGGAGUGUAACUACAGAAACAGUACAGUACAAGGUGUUGCAUAUUAAAGAUAGAAACGCACAAUACUAUCGAGUAGUUCUAUACUUUAUGGAUUUAAACAGAACUUUAAUAAACGAAUCGUUUCGAAAGAAAAUCAUAGUUACAUAAAACGUAUCGUAAAGUUACGUGUGUCAGGAAAAAUGAAUUUAUACUCGUUCCUGUCUCGGUUUUGAUCUUAAGUUAAACAUAAAUGAACCGUAUACACUUUACUAUGUUACAAAUAAAUGAGUAAAAAUAAAAUGAACCGUAUACACGGGAAAGUGACUAUUUAGAGUUAAAGAAUUUAAAGUAAAAAGCAUGGUAACAUUGAGAGAACCACGAUUAUCUACACGAUAAGCCAGCGGUACUACAACGUCAAUGGUUCAUCGGAACGUUAUUCUCCUAACUUGAUAAGCUACGAUCAUUACUGGUCUUUACACUUUAGUUGUUGAGUAAGUAAGACCUUAUUUUGUUUACCUGGUUUGUCUGGUUCGAUAACUCGUAAGCUUAUGCCACGUGACGUUUGAAUGUGAGAGAAAACAACAAGUAAGAAAGUAUUCCAUAAAUAUAUCUCCUUUAAUCCACGAGGAGAUGGAGAGGGAGAGUGAGCGUAAAACUAACGGAUUAUGCAGCUAAAAGAUUUCUACUAUACACGUCGCGGCAGGACCAAAAUCAAACUCGUACGAACAGAGGUACCCGGAGAGAUAAAUCCACACCUAGAACUGAGUAUCGUUGUGCUUGAACCUAUACGAAGAAAAGAGGUACCCUAGAAAGUUUUUACUUUUUUGUUUGGGUCCUUAUUCUGAACCCGUAGUCAAAUUUAUUACCAAGGGACGUGUAGUCAAAUAAAGGAACGUAACCAAGAAAUACAAUAUUCAUUGUGGAAAGGAUAAAACAGUUUCUUUCUUACCUGAGUAAGUACCUGAAGGUGGUAUAUAUAAUUGUGACCAUACGACUAGUUGGGUCAUUAGGAGAUUAGGAUUUAAUAAAAGGCUUUUUGUGAUACAAAAAGAGAUAUAGUUCCAUCAUGAUACAGUUUGACUACGAUAAACCUUCAAGUUUGACUAAAACACAAGUAUAAAUAAAUAACGUGCUAAGUAGACACAUUUUGGUUCUUCUACGGAGAUUUAAAAAACACAUAAAGACUUUAUACAAGAAAAAUAGCAGUAGUCUAUGUUUUUAAGGCAAAGUACGAAUAAGGAUUAAAUAAUAAAAGAUUUCGACACUUCUUAACAUCAUCCUGAUACUAAGAGUGAAAAACACGUACCUAUACGUCUAACUGUAAGUUCAACGAGGUCCUAAAGCCUAAGGAACGAUUACUUAUCUGUCCACGUAUUUCACUGUUUAUGGGUUAGACUAACUAUUCGACCGACAGGUACAUUCGUAGUAUCACAUAUUCACCACUCCUUCACUUUCGUAGACACUCACGUUCAUCUAUAUAAAACAGUUGGAAAAAAACCAAUGGUUUGAGACCAUACAUUCCAUACUCUCCUGGUACAUUUCCAAGAAAAUUUUUGCUAAAAGUAAUACGCGUGGAGACGGGUCUAACUCAUACCACCAUGAUUUUUCACUACGAGAUUACAAGCAGAUACAAUACCUCAACGAAGAAAACCCAAUUUCAUCGCACACAAACAUG